UAGGGAAUCUUCCACAAUGGACGCAAGUCUGAUGGAGCAACGCCGCGUGAGUGAAGAAGGUUUUCGGACCGUAAAGCUCUGUUGUUGGUGAAGAAGGAUAGAGGUAGUAACUGGCCUUUAUUUGACGGUAAUCAACCAGAAAGUCACGGCUAACUACGUGCCAGCAGCCGCGGUAAUACGUAGGUGGCAAGCGUUGUCCGGAUUUAUUGGGCGUAAAGCGAGCGCAGGCGGAAGAAUAAGUCUGAUGUGAAAGCCCUCGGCUUAACCGAGGAAUUGCAUCGGAAACUGUUUUCUUGAGUGCAGAAGAGGAGAGUAGAACUCCAUGUGUAGCGGUGGAAUGCGUAGAUAUAUGGAAGAAUACCAGUGGCGAAGGCGGCUCUCUGGUCUGCAACUGACGCUGAGGCUCGAAAGCAUGGGUAGCGAACAGGAUUAGAUACCCUGGUAGUCCAUGCCGUAAACGAUGAGUGCUAAGUGUUGGGAGGCUUCCGCCUCUCAGUGCUGCAGCUAAGCGCAUUAAGCACUCCGCCUGGGGGAGUACGACCGCAA
rnacentral:rRNA from 1 species